GACGAACGCUGGCGGCGUGCUUAACACAUGCAAGUCGAACGGAAAGGCCCUGCUUGCAGGGUCCUCGAGUGGCGAACGGGUGAGUAACACGUGGGUGCUCUGCCCUUCACUUCGGGAUAAGCCUGGGAAACUGGGUCUAAUACCGGAUAGGAGCCAUUUUUAGUGUGAUGGUUGGAAAGUUUUUUCGGUGUAGGAUGAGCUCGCGGCCUAUCAGCUUGUUGGUGGGGUAAUGGCCUACCAAGGCGGCGACGGGUAGCCGGCCUGAGAGGGUGGACGGCCACAUUGGGACUGAGGGACGGCCCAGACGCCGACGGGAGGAAGCAGGGGGGAAGAUUGCACAAUGGGCGCAAGCCGGAUGCAGCGACGCCGCGUGGGGGAUGACGGCCUUCGGGUUGUAAACUCCUUUCGCUAGGGACGAAGCUUUUUGUGACGGUACCUAGAUAAGAAGCACCGGCUAACUACGUG
rnacentral:rRNA from 1 species